GAGAGAGAUAAUAAUGGUAAAAAUAUUUGCUAACGGAAAGAGUCCGGUUCAAGCAAUGAACAAGUAAAGAGAGUACUUAUUAAGAAGCGCAAGAGGCUCAAUAUUUUUACAGCGGAUUAUCAAGUUGCAUGCCCCAUUGACUCAUUCCAUCAUAUCAGCGGUACAUGAUAUAUUUGGCAAAUUUAACACACAAGUAAAUUCUACUGAGCUAAAAAAAAAAAAGAAGGGAAGAGAAAACUGUAAGUCCUACCAAAUUGCUGUAUGUGGACUCGCCCUCACAGGUAAACGCUUUUACAUUCUUAAGGUUUGCUCUAUUGAACCUAUAGGGUAUAUGAUUAAUUGAAUGUCUAGAGAUUUGGCACACAUUUUGAACCUUUUCGGUCUGUGCACGAGAUUGCAUAUUCACUUCAUUUUCAUAGCACCUUAAAUUGGUUAAAACUUUGAAAGUUAUAGAAGCUGUAAAAAUAAAAAUAAAAUAAAAUAAAAUAAAAUAUGGGAAAAACAUAUAGCAAAGCACAUCCUGUGACAGGGUGCUCAUAUGUUGAUCUUAAUAUCAUGUUUAUGCGUGUGAAUUAUGGGGAAGGAUGUUUGAAUCAAUAUGAUGUAUGGGUUAAAGAAUGUGCUUUCCCAGAAAAAGGUAGUUUUAGCCUCAGAUAGUUAGAACAACUGAAACUUAAUUUGGAGACAAAGGAGAGAGAGAGAGAGAUAUUCCUAAAAUUAAAAAAAAAAAAAAAAAGAGCGAAGUGUAGUUUUUAGCAGACAGGAAGGCAUUUGCUGAAUGGCAGAGCGAGGCACAUAAAAGAGAGAAAAAAUGUCAGGCAGGGCCUUCAUCUGUUUCUCAGUGUGCUAAAUUGCAGAAAGCCGAUCCUGACCUGGACUCCGCCCCACCACGACGUCCACAGCCAGUAAGGAGGGAGGAACCUGCAGUUUCAAAGGCACCUGCUCACGAUGAAGCGGCCUAGCCUACACCACUCUAUCCGGACCUGUCAGAACUGAGCCACCGACCCCCACCGAACUAUGCUCCAGCCGUCCUACCUUCACCGGUGGCGUUACACACGAGAUCCCAAGUGAAGGGUGCAACAACAUUGCUGCCUGAGGGCUUCAGACCGACAAAAUCGGACAGAGAAGGAACAAUGCACGCCGUGGUAAAUGCCCCAAUGCUAGAAGUGGCCGGAGAAGGAGGCCCUAUGCUAGUUCACAGACCCUGGACAUUGGAAGACAUCAGGAGCAGCAUGACGCAUCCGCUGGUGCUCCGCGAAGGAGGACGAAAGUUUGGGGAUGAACUUCAGAUAUUCUGCAGAGAAUUCAGACCCACCAUUCAUGAACUACGACGACUGCUCAUGGCAAAACUUGGCACGGACUGGGUCAAGGUUUCAUGUUAAUUCCCAGAGAACGAUGCCCGCCUGAUCAACCCACAGUGGGAUGAUUAAGUCAACGCAAGGUACAGAGCACAAAUCACGGCGCUCCAGCAGAGGCUGAUGAACACCUUUCCUGUGCGACUGGACAUGACAAAAAUAGCGAUGUGUAAACAACAAGUCACAGUACCUGUCCCGGCUCACUGAGAUCCAUGACGCAAAGUCAGGCUUGGAGAACCCCGACGCUCUGGCAGAUGGGCAGGCGGCCGUCACAGCAUGGGAAGCACAUCUCAGAAACAGCUUUAUGAACGGCAUUAAACCAGAAAUUGUCGCUAUAAUAAAACAACAAUGUAUCACCUGGGACACCGGAAACCUCACACAAGUGGAGAGGUAUGCAAUCCAUGUGGAGAAGCUCCUACGAGAGGCAAAGGAAAGAAAGAUGGAGAGGAAGACUAAAAGCUCCAUGACCACAGACUACUGUUGCAGAUUAGACACAAAUCAUUAGAUGUCAACCUGCACAUCCACUCAUACAUACAAACCUAUUCCUAAUCGUGAACCCUUCUCCUGGUAUAGGUGGUAUCUGUUAGUAAGCCCUGUCAUAGAAAUAAACUCAUAAAUCACUGGGACCGUUCCCGACAACACUGGGGGUCCGGGGGUAGACCCUUAAGCUGGAAAGAUAAACCAAAGCGCGAUAUUGAAGUUUAUUGGGUGGAAGACUUAUCGAUCAAUCACGCCAAUCACAUUUGCAGAAGAAAGAGUGCAUGAUGCACACACUUUUACCCAAAUUUGGUAUUUAGCUGAUCGUGGUGACGGGACUAAGUGCCUAAGGCGACGUGAUUUCUAUAGGUCCCACAUAAGCCUGCAAAGUUCUUUAGUAGACUAUUGCUACAGAUUGGACAACAAUUAGUAGUUAAAAGCCCAUAUGCCAAGAUAUUGGCCGCCUCUGUAAACGCCUUUCGUCAGAAGAAUCAUUGCCAACAGUGCUACCCACACAACGUCACACGUCCCCUCGUCAUGCAGACACACAAUGGUUAUUCUAUCAGUGAACACAUGCGGUCUGCGACACGCAACCCUCCACAGACUAGCGAGAUGGGGUUUGAUUGGCUGAGCUCAGUACUCGGGGGAUAGGGCUCAUGGAUAUUAACCAUCUGUCUACCAAUAGGUGCAAUAAUUCUUCUUGUCUUGCUCAUUUUGCCUUGUAUUGUUUCUCUCGUUCGGAGCAGUCUCUCACACUCGUUGAAAUCAUCAAUGACCAAACGCUGAUGUUGACAAAGACUGAGUACGAUCCCCAUGAUGAUCAACCUGACUGGGUAUCAGAUUCUCCCAGCGACACUGACGAUGACGACCCAUUGAUAUCCAUUUCACACCUAUUGUAAAUAUUCCUUUGACCAUGGCGAUUCUCAUUUCACCCUAAAAUGAGCUUGCUUGACGACAGGAUACUUUAUAUCCGCAAAAACAGACUUAGCGCCUUCAUGAUGUCUGUUUUACUCAGACAUGAAUUCAGUUGAACUGUGAAAGGAUUCUGAAGUUCUGAUGUAUUCACAGCAUUGUAAUUUCUCUGUUAGUUUUAGUUAUCAUAUUUUGUAAUGAUAAAAUGGGGGAAAUGUGAGGGAAAUUACUCAUUUUUACUUUGUAAUAAGUUUGUUGUUGUUCAUGUUCAUCUGAGGAGGACGCCUAAGAAGGCCAUGUCAUGUCACUGAGAUCAGUACAGAAUAUUUAUCUGCUUACAGACACGCAAACAUGUUCUUCUGUUCAAGGUUCGUCUGUCCAAAAUCCUAAAAGUGUGUCAUGCUCUGCUUUUCAAAUAUAUAGUAGUGGUUUAGUACAAAAUGGGGCGCAUGGUGGCUUAGUGGUUAGCAUGUUCGCCUCACACGGGUUCGAUUGUUCGGGGGUUCGAUUCCCACCGUGGCCCUGUGUGUACGGAGUUUGCAUGUUCUCCCCGUGCUGCAGGGGUUUCCUCCGGGUACUCCGGUUUCCUCCCCCAGUCCAAAGACAUACAUGGUAGGCUGAUUGUCAUGUCCAAAGUGUCUGUAGUGUAUGAAUGGGUGUGUGAAUGUGUAUGUGAUUGUGCCCUGUGAUGGAUUGGCACCCUGUCCAGGGUGUACCCCGCCUUGUGCCCCAUGCUCCCUGGGAUAGGCUCCAGGUUCCCCCGUGACCCUGAAAAGGAUAAAGCGGUAUAGAAGAUGGAUGAUUCUAUCCUGUAUUAACCAUCUUUCUGUAAUAAACCUUUUUACCUUCAGAGUACGAGUCUGCGAGUGUUGUCUAAUUUCCACGGCAAACCUCAAAGAACUUAUUUUGUUAUAGGUUUUAAAACGAAUAUGCUAUUUUGGUUACACGAGGACCAUUAAUUUUUCAUGCAUGUAACUUUCUGUAUCUUUAGCUGACUGGAUGGACAUAAAAGGAGAUUGUGACGUCCAGCCAAAACACACACGCUGUAGUUUAAUUCAUCCAAAACCACAAAAACAGAUUAGCAGAGACGGGUAUAGAGUCGUCCGUCAGACAGUCCCUCUGGGUGAGGACUGUCAACUCACGGUCUCUUAAAUCUAGAUCUAGAUUCUGGUUCAACAUUUUGACGUUCAGAAUAACAUAAGUGCAUUUGUGGAGGUGAUUAUACACAAUAUUGACUAAUGCUCGCUGAUUUAGAUGCAGCUGACACUGUGACCAAGGAUAUGUAGGACGUCUCAGACACUUUCAUUCCUAUAUGAUUCGUAAUAGAGAGAAAGCACGAAAGAGAGCGAGAGAGAGAGAGAGAAUUUCCUAACAUUGGGCUACAGCAGCUCCUCCCUCCCCUUUAGACCCUGGAAUUAAAGCAGAUUUAUCGGAAAGAGAAAGAUGGAUGAAAGAGAAAGGAUGACUGAUGACCGAGAGAAAGUGCUGUUCCUGAAAAUAAGUGUUCUAAAACUUACAUGGCUGUGUUAUAAAGACUACUUUAAAACUGAGCUAUUAUUAUAACUUUAUUCAUAUAUUUAUACCACAGUGUCAGUGAUUAAUCGAUUCUGAUUGGUCAGAAGGUGUGGAUUUAUUUUCUAUAACAGCAGUUCUGACAGUAGUGCCGUCUGUACUUCAAGUCACAGAAGCAGCCCUAAAGCAUGAUGCUGCCACCACCAUGCUUCACCGUGAAAAAGCAGCCAUUUGGAAGGAGUCCAAAGUUUUCUGCCACAGGAAACUCUUCAGGACAGAGGACUAUAACAUGAGAAGCUCAGGUUCUUUCAAAACUUCAAAUAAGAGAAAGGGAGAGACUGAUAUGGGAAUGACUGUCAAUAGCUGCAAUAACUUCAAUCACUCGAUUUGUAGAUGUUCCCCAACAUUUCAUGCAUGUUUUUAUUAUUAUUAUUUCUGAACUGUAACUAUGACUGAACAGCCAAGAGAUAUUAAAAUCUUUUUAAAUGUA